GACGAACGCUGGCGGCGUGCCUAAUACAUGCAAGUCGAACGCUGAAGGAGGAGCUUGCUUCUCUGGAUGAGUUGCGAACGGGUGAGUAACGCGUAGGUAACCUGCCUGGUAGCGGGGGAUAACUAUUGGAAACGAUAGCUAAUACCGCAUAAUAGUAGAUGUCGCAUGACAUUUGCUUAAAAGGUGCAAUUGCAUCACUACCAGAUGGACCUGCGUUGUAUUAGCUAGUUGGUGAGGUAACGGCUCACCAAGGCAACGAUACAUAGCCGACCUGAGAGGGUGAUCGGCCACACUGGGACUGGGACACGGCCCAGGCUCCUACGGGAGGCAGCAGUAGGGAAUCUUCGGCAAUGGACGGAAGUCUGACCGAGCAACGCCGCGUGAGUGAAGAAGGUUUUCGGAUCGUAAAGCUCUGUUGUAAGAGAAGAACGAGUGUGAGAGUGGAAAGUUCACACUGUGACGGUAUCUUACCAGAAAGGGACGGCUAACUACGUG
rnacentral:rRNA from 1 species